CCAAGCCUCGCCCCAACUCGCGCCGGCCGCGGCCGCCCCCGGGGAGUACCGGGAGCGCGGGGAGCGCGAGUCCCGCGGCGGCGGCGGCGCGGCGCGGCUCAGGCGUCGGAGCAGGCGGCCGCGGGCGCCGCCGCCUCCUCCUCCAUGGCUGUUUACCCGGCUGCAUUGUGGGAGUUUGACCUCCGCCGCCGCCAACCGCCGCCUCAGCUUGCGCCGCCGCCGCCGCCGCGCACGCCAUGGGAGCCGUGACUGACGACGAAGUUAUACGGAAGCGUCUCCUCAUCGAUGGAGAUGGUGCUGGAGAUGAUCGGAGAAUUAAUCUGCUAGUGAAGAGUUUCAUUAAAUGGUGCAACUCUGGGUCCCAGGAAGAGGGAUAUAGCCAGUACCAACGUAUGCUGAGCACGCUGUCUCAAUGUGAAUUUUCAAUGGGCAAAACUUUGCUAGUAUAUGAUAUGAAUCUCAGAGAAAUGGAAAAUUAUGAAAAAAUUUACAAGGAAAUAGAAUGUAGCAUAGCUGGAGCACAUGAAAAAAUUGCUGAAUGCAAAAAGCAAAUUCUUCAAGCAAAACGAAUACGAAAAAAUCGCCAAGAAUAUGAUGCUUUGGCAAAAGUGAUUCAGCACCAUCCAGACAGGCAUGAGACAUUAAAGGAACUAGAGGCUCUGGGAAAAGAAUUAGAGCAUCUUUCACACAUUAAAGAAAGUGUUGAAGAUAAGCUGGAAUUGAGACGGAAACAAUUUCACGUUCUUCUUAGUACCAUCCAUGAACUUCAGCAAACAUUGGAAAAUGAUGAAAAACUCUCAGAGGUAGAGGAAGCUCAGGAAGCAAGCAUGGAAACAGAUCCUAAACCAUAGACAGGCUAAUUGCCCAUCACUCCUAGGAAUAUUGAAAUAGCUACAUGACCAUAAUGUGUUUAAAAUGUGAUGUUCUAGCUUUUCCAGAUUUUGUCAUUGAGAAUGCCAGCCCUCUUCUGGAAAAUGCCUCUGAACAUACACAGUUCGCCAGAAUCACUGUGUGUCUCUCACCUCAUGCUUCUCUGGUUGGAGAUCCUGUUAUUAAUGCAAAUCCCGCAGUCCAUCCAUUUGUGCUGUCUCGUAGACCCACACAUCUUUGGGAAGAAGAAUCGUGGAAAGAUGGAAAAAUGAAGGAGAAACCAUUGGAUACAACAUCAGUGAAUUCUCGGCUCAUGGAAGUUUUUAAAAAAAUCAGAUCACCAUGCUUUUUAGUUAUUCACCACUGGAGUACCCAAGCUAGACUUUGAGACGGUGACACUGUAUUCACUGAUAAUCUAUGCCAAAGACAACCAAGGGGCGACAGCAUCACAGACCAUUUUAAUCCAGAUUGCAGAUGUGGAUGAACCGCCCACCUUCACUGGAUCUCUUGCCCAGGGUGACCAAGGUACACAGGCUUUUCUCUUGGGGAAAGAGGGCUCUAGUGGAUAUGUCUACGUAGAUGCUGUGCCCUGUGCCCCUUGUACUCUCAAAACAUCAUGGCUAUAAUGGUGAUAAAAAUGACAGUAACAAUAGAAAUGAUAAAUGGCUGACACUGGGCACUAACUAUGUACCAGGCACUGUCCUAAGAGCUUUAACUGGACUACUUUAUUUAAUGCUCACAACACUAGAGGGCAGAUGGUAAACUCCUCCUGGGCAGGUCCAAGGUGAAAUUACGCUCUUCUGACUUCUAAAACUGCGAGCUUUGUGCUAGAGUGCUUGUGGACACUUCAUGAGCAUUUGCUCAUCAGAAGAGCAGGUCCUGGCUACCCUCUAAGCGGGCCCAUUGACCACUUGGCUAUCCACAAAUCCUGCCUUCUUGGCACAAUGGUGCAGCAGUUUCCCCUGGGUGGUUCUUCCCCUCAGACACUCAAGGAUCUCUUACUGCCUCAAGGUUCCUGUUCAUUGGAAAAGCGAUUCCACUGGCAAAUUUGCAAGUUUGUGUUCCUCACUGUUUUAAAAACAUAUGGGAAGAGAGCAAAAUUAAGGACAAGACAAACUUUAAUAAAAUAAUUAGGCAAUAUUAAUGUAUUAGCUAUGUGACCUUGAGCCAGUUAAUUCAAUCUUUCUAAACCUUGGUAAAAUGGAAAUCAUAAUAAAGUCACCAGUGAUGUUAAGUGCUUAGUAAUUAAUAAGCACUCAAAAAAUGUUCAACAUUGUUCCUGUUUAAAUGUAUAAAUCUCAUUGCUCUAUACUUGACACAUAAGAGACACUUGACAAAUGGCAUAUUAUUAUUAUUAUGGGUUUAAUGGGAAUAUCCCUAUAAAAACAUCUGUGCUGAGCAAGCGCAAUGCCUUAAAUUUUAUCUGAAAUUCAGGAUUGGAUGAGAGGUUUUAGGCUUAUGGUGGUGAUGCUCAUUCAAGCACGUCUGCUGUACAUUUUCUGGCAGUUACUGAGAUUUAUAUCCUGGAAGAUAUUGCCCCAGGCACAGUCAUUUACCGAGCAGCGGCCAACGGCCCAGAGGAUACCGUUUUGGAGGUAAUUUAUGCUUUGGGACAGAGAAUAACAGUGUCUGGUGGUUUUAUGUGUGAUUGAAUUCAAAUAUAAAGCCAUGGAGGCAAUCAAGUCAAUUAUACCUACAACUUAGGUUUCAAACAUACCUUUGCCUCAAUUAUCAGGAUACUUUAGGUGCCAAUGAUUAAGGUCUGGGUUGUCUGGGUAAUUGCUUCCCUUCUGGUACAUUCCAUCCUGUGCAGGCUGACCCAACCUAAUCCUUAAGUAACUUUAGCAAAAGAUGUCAAGACGUUUCAUUUUGUUCUUAGGAAUCUUGGCUGUACACAGGUAGAGAAAGAAUCCAGCUUUCUGGCAGAAUUAAUUUGUGUUUCAAAACUCUAGGUCUCGUCCUCAGGUUUUAUAAUGCCCUAGAUGGAGAGGCAACUAUGGGCUUGGUACCAAGAGGCUUGGGUUUAAGUUCUUACUCUACUACUGCAAAUCACUUAACAUUUUUGUUUUGCUGUUUCAACUGUAAAAUUGGGAAAAUGAUACCUGCUUUGUCUUGUCUCAUAUUGCAUUCUCUCAUUAUAAUUAAACAUAAUAUUUGAUUAUGUUUAUAUGAACAUGAAAGUAGUUUUUAAACUUUAAAACAUUUUGCAAAUGACAGGCUUUAUAAAAAUGUCUUAAUUUUUGAUGCCAUAUGGAAUGGUUAUGGCAUUAUUAAACUAUAAUCUUUUAGCUAAUAAAUUGAUAGAAAAGAA